AACUGGUACGGACAAGGGGAA
rnacentral:snRNA from 1 species